GGAGGAGUAUUUAAGAGAUGUGGUUUGUCAGAGGUUCCCUUUCUCUGAUAAGGAGAAGAAUAAGCUUACGUUUGAGGUUGUAAAUUUAGCUAGGAAUCUCAUAUACUUUGGUUUCUACAACUUCUCUGACCUUCUACGAUUAACUAAGAUCCUUCUGGCCAUAUUGGACUGUGUACAUGUGACAACAAUCUUCCCCAUUAGCAAGAUGGCGAAAGGAGAAGAGAAUAAAGGUAACAAUGAUGUGGAGAAGCUGAAGAGUGAGUAUCUGAG
rnacentral:lncRNA from 1 species